AUUGAACGCUGGCGGCAUGCCUUACACAUGCAAGUCGAACGGCAGCACGGGAGCAAUCCUGGUGGCGAGUGGCGAACGGGUGAGUAAUAUAUCGGAACGUGCCCAGUCGUGGGGGAUAACGCAGCGAAAGCUGUGCUAAUACCGCAUACGAUCUACGGAUGAAAGCGGGGGAUCGCAAGACCUCGCGCGCUUGGAGCGGCCGAUAUCAGAUUAGCUAGUUGGUGAGGUAAGGCUCACCAAGGCGACGAUCUGUAGCUGGUCUGAGAGGACGACCAGCCACACUGGAACUGAGACACGGUCCAGACUCCUACGGGAGGCAGCAGUGGGGAAUUUUGGACAAUGGGCGCAAGCCUGAUCCAGCAAUGCCGCGUGCAGGAUGAAGGCCUUCGGGUUGUAAACUGCUUUUGUACGGAACGAAACGGUGAGCUCUAAUACAGUUUGCUAAUGACGGUACCGUAAGAAUAAGCACCGGCUAACUACGUGCCAGCAGCCGCCGUAAGAC
rnacentral:rRNA from 1 species